GCCCCGAUAGCUCAGUCGGUCAGAGCAGCGGACUCAUAAUCCGUCGGUCCUGGGUUCAAGCCCCAGUCGGGGCA
rnacentral:tRNA from 1 species